AACGAACGCUGGCGGCAUGCCUAACACAUGCAAGUCGAACGAGACCUUCGGGUCUAGUGGCGCACGGGUGCGUAACGCGUGGGAACCUGCCCUUAGGUUCGUAAUAACUCCCCGAAAGGGGUGCUAAUACCGGAUCAUGUCUUCGGUCCAAAGAUUUAUCGCCUUUGGAUGGGCCCGCGUUGGAUUAGCUAGUUGGUAGGGUAAAAGCCUACCAAGGCGACGAUCCAUAGCUGGUCUGAGAGGAUGAUCAGCCACACUGGGAGUGAGACACGGCCCAGACUCCUACGGGAGGGAGCAGUGGGGAAUAUUGGACAAUGGGCGAAAGCCUGAUCCAGCAAUGCCGCGUGAGUGAUGAAGGCCGUAGGGUUGUAAAGCUCUUUUACCCGGGAUGAUAAUGACAGUACCGGGAGAAUAAGCUCCGGCUAACUCCGUG
rnacentral:rRNA from 1 species